rnacentral:misc_RNA from 1 species
CACUUAAUUAACUUUACCAACAUCAUCCUACUGUUACAAUACAAGGAGGGUAUGAGACUAAUUAUAUGGUAAAGUGGGUAAUUAAUUAAUAUAAACACUUAAUUAUAGUCCUAUAUUAUAAUACAUGUAAUGAACUUUAGGCAUCUCAAACUAUUAAGGCUUCUUAUGGUGUUGGGUGUAAAUGUAAUCCAAGUGAGCUUCUGCUACCAUCCUUCUCUUGAGACACUCUUCAUCUCCCUCUUCGCAUUCAUAUUCCUCUAACCCCAUGAGAGUGGAAACAUCUUCUUUUCUCUCUGUGAAUGAACCAUCAGUACUUUUCAACUCUUUUUCUUCUUGUUUUGGGGGAAGAUAGAGACGAGCAGAUGUUGAGGAUAGAAGGAGGAGAAGAAGAAGAAAG